UGGUUGAUCCUGCCAGUAGUCAUAUGCUUGUCUCAAAGAUUAAGCCAUGCAUGUCUAAGUAUAAGCAAUCUAUACGGUGAAACUGCGAAUGGCUCAUUAAAUCAGUUAUCGUUUAUUUGAUAGUACCUUACUACAUGGAUACCUGUGGUAAUUCUAGAGCUAAUACAUGCUGAAAACCUCGACUUCGGAAGGGGUGUAUUUAUUAGAUAAAAAACCAAUGCCCUUCGGGGCUCCUUGGUGAUUCAUAAUAACUAAACGAAUCGCAUGGCCUUGCGCCGGCGAUGGUUCAUUCAAAUUUCUGCCCUAUCAACUUUCGAUGGUAGGAUAGUGGCCUACCAUGGUGGCAACGGGUAACGGGGAAUUAGGGUUCGAUUCCGGAGAGGGAGCCUGAGAAACGGCUACCACAUCCAAGGAAGGCAGCAGGCGCGCAAAUUACCCAAUCCCGAUCCGGGGAGGUAGUGACAAUAAAUACUGAUACAGGGCUCUUUUGGGUCUUGUAAUUGGAAUGAGUACAAUCUAAAUCCCUUAACGAGGAACAAUUGGAGGGCAAGUCUGGU
rnacentral:rRNA from 1 species